rnacentral:rRNA from 1 species
GCUAGUUGUAUUAUUAGUUAAUGCAAGAUCGACUACGUCGACUAAAGUUCUAGGUAGAAUAAUGAUGAUGACAAUUUUUUACCUAUAUGUCUUGACCAAGUCUCGUGCCAGCAGUCGCGGUAAUACGUGGAAGACUAGUGUUAUUCAUCUUUAUUAGGUUUAAAGGGUACCUAGACGGUAUUUCUAGCCCAAAAUAGGGUACGGAUUUACUAGAGUUUUAUGUGAGGAGGGGAGUACUCGUGGAGUAGAGAUGAAAUUUUGUUAUACUAUGAGGUAACUGGUGGCGGCGAAAGCAACCUUCUAUGUAUAAACUGACGUUGAGGGACGAAGGCUUGGGUAGCAAAUAGGAUUAGAUACCCUAGUAGUCCAAGCAGACAAUUCUGAAUGCCAUAGAUUAGAUUAUUUUUGGUCUAUAAAUGAAAGUGUAAGCAUUCCACCUUAGGAGUAAUGUGGCAACACAGGAACUGAAAUCAUUAGACCGUUUCUGAAACCAGUAGUGAAGUAUGUUAUUUAAAUUGAUGGUCCACAAAAAACCUUACCACAAUUUGAAUAUUUUUAAAUUAAUACAAGAGUUGCACGGCUGUCUUCAGUUAAUGUCGUGAGAUUUUGGUUAACUCCAUUAAUUAACGUAAACCCUUACUUUAUUUUUUUUUUUU